rnacentral:rRNA from 1 species
CAAAGGCCCCAAAGGAAGCCACGGCUAACUCUGUGCCAGCAGCCGCGGUAAUACAGAGGUGGCAAGCGUUGUUCGGUAUUAUUGGGCGUAAAGAGCACGUAGGUGGUUCUGUAAGUCAGAUGUGAAAGCCUCCUGUUCAAAGGAAGAACGGCAUCUGAAACUACAGAUCUUGAGUGUAGGAGGGGAGAGUGGAACUUCUGGUGGAGCGGUGAAAUGCGUAGAUAUCAGAAGGAACGUCGGCGGCGAAAGCGACUCUCUGGCCUAUUACUGACACUGAGUGUGCGAAAGUUAGGGGAGCAAACGGGAUUAGAUACCCCGGUAGUCCUAACUGUAAA